rnacentral:rRNA from 1 species
CCUACGGGUGGCAGCAGUGGGGAAUAUUGCACAAUGGGGGAAACCCUGAUACAGCGACGCCGCGUGAAGGAAGAAGUAUUUCGGUAUGUAAACUUCUAUCAGCAGGGAAGAAAAUGACGGUACCUGACUAAGAAGCCCCGGCUAACUACGUGCCAGCAGCCGCGGUAAUAUGUCGGGGGCAAGCGUUAUCCGGAUUUACUGGGUGUAAAGGGAGCGUAGGCGGCGAUGCAAGGCAGAAGUGAAAGCCCGGGGCUCAACUCCGGGACUGCUUUUGAAACUGGGUGGCGAGAUUGCAGGAGAGGUAAGUGGAAUUCCUAGUGUAGCGGUGAAAUGCGUAGAUAUUAGGAGGAACACCAGUGGCGAAGGCGGCUUACUGGACUGUAAAUGACGCUGAGGCUCGAAAGCGUGGGGAGCGAACAGGAUUAGAUACCCGAGUAGUC